rnacentral:rRNA from 1 species
UCGGAGGAAAAGAAACCAACAGGGAUUGCCUUAGUAGCGGCGAGUGAAGCGGCAAAAGCUCAAAUUUGAAAUCUGGCUCUUUCAGAGUCCGAGUUGUAAUUUGAAGAAGGUAUCUUUGGGUCUGGCUCUUGUCUAUGUUUCUUGGAACAGAACGUCACAGAGGGUGAGAAUCCCGUGCGAUGAGAUGAUCCAGGCCUAUGUAAAGUUCCUUCGAAGAGUCGAGUUGUUUGGGAAUGCAGCUCUAAGUGGGUGGUAAAUUCCAUCUAAAGCUAAAUAUUGGCGAGAGACCGAUAGCGAACAAGUACAGUGAUGGAAAGAUGAAAAGAACUUUGAAAAGAGAGUGAAAAAGUACGUGAAAUUGUUGAAAGGGAAGGGCUUGAGAUCAGACUUGGUAUUUUGUAUGUUACUUCUUCGGGGGUGGCCUCUACAGUUUAUCGGGCCAGCAUCAGUUUGGGCGGUAGGAGAAUUGCGUUGGAAUGUGGCACGGCUUCGGUUGUGUGUUAUAGCCUUCGUCGAUACUGCCAGCCUAGACUGAGGACUGCGGUUUAUACCUAGGAUGUUGGCAUAAUGAUCUUAAGUCGCCCGUCUAA